rnacentral:rRNA from 1 species
AUCCCAGACUCCUACGGGAGGCAGCAGUGGGGGAUAUUGCACAAUGGGGGAAACCCUGAUGCAGCGACGCCGCGUGUGGGAAGACGGUCCUCUGGAUUGUAAACCCCUGUCCCCAGGGACGAAGAUGACGGUACCUGGGGAGGAAGCUCCGGCUAACCACGUGCCAGCAGCCGCGGUAAUACGUAGGGAGCGAGCGUUGUCCGGAUUUACUGGGUGUAAAGGGCGUGUAGGCGGGGACGCAAGUCAGAUGUGAAAACUCAGGGCUCAACCCUGAGCCUGCAUUUGAAACUGUGUUUCUUGAGUGCUGGAGAGGCAAUCGGAAUUCCGUGUGUAGCGGUGAAAUGCGUAGAUAUACGGAGGAACACCAGUGGCGAAGGCGGAUUGCUGGACAGUAACUGACGCUGAGGCGCGAAAGCGUGGGGAGCAAACAGGAUUAGAUACCCUCGUA